CUCUUAGACACAAGAGGAAGCUCAGAAACCACACACGCCUGCUUAUGGACAGGGAAAUGGGACCCUUCUUUCUGCUGGUGUCAUGUGAAUUGGUAGCCUAGUCAAGAUUAGAACACGGGGUUCUCGGUGAGUGCCUCUAGUACCUUCAAAGGCAGCUCUGGGAAUGCCUCACAGAGGCACAGUAAUUCUGUAGACAGGGGCACAAGAGCCCAGAGACGCAGGGGCUCUUGAAGCCACAUGGCCAGCUGGGUAGGUGAGUGGGCAUUCUCCUGGCCGCAUGUGUUCUAGCUCCCCGAGGCUCCGGGAACCUUCCCCAUCCUAAGCUUUCAGGUCUGGAGGCAGAGCCCUUUCCUCCGGUCUCCAAAACCCCAGCAGGAUGGAACUGGAUGGUGUGGAAAGAGCACGACACGGAGAGCCUAGGCCUUGCUGUGUGAUCUCAGAGAAUAUACUCCCAGUGGCCAAUCUGUAGAAACUUCCAGAAGGCGAUUGAUGUAGAUUCUUUUCUGGUCCCUUGUCUUGCUCUGUGGUGUCUGCUUGACUCCUGCUCAGUGCCUCGUUCUCUGUCCUUCUGGCCUGGUUGUCUGCUCGCUGGUCCUCAGGAAAGAUCGUUAGACUUGUUCCUGCCUGCUGCACUCAACGUCUGCAGAAGGCCGCCUGACUUCCUGUCCGUCCAUCAUCUGCCUGUAGCCUGCCUUCCCAUCGCUCUGAUUGCAGCUGACUCUCUUGCACCUGGGCUCUACGUUAUGAGGUCUGAGUGACAAGAGAGGUGAUAAAUGAGAGUGAGCAAGUGACAGACGGGAGCACACAUAUGGGGGAUGGAACAUGUGCAUGCACAGAGGAGUGACAGUUGGGUUGUCCUCUUUGAGACAGGGUCACUGAAGGUCUCCCCAGCCCCAGAGGGGUGCCCAGAACACCAUCCAUCUCACCUCAAAGCACCGUCUGUCUGCCUCCCUGACCGCAGACAGAGGUGUCCCCUGCGGAGGCUUCAGGAGGAGGGAGGAGGGGAGGGACAGUACCCAUGGCAACCAAUGGAGAGGCACAUUUCAGCUCAAGAAGAGUGCUUGCAACAAUGGAGCUGUCCAACAAACAAAAUGGGCUGUUAGUGAGGUAGUGAUCUCCCUGUUAUUGGAGUCAUUCAAUCAUGGACUGGCCACCCUCCUGUCAGGGCUGCUACGGUGGGGAUUCCCGAGUAAGGAAUGGAUUAGGACUGGGGGGUGGAGACAGGCCGACACUUAAGAUGCUGACUGGUAGCCCCCAUCCCUGUAAAGCACUUUCCACAGUGCCUGGUGCUCAGGAGGCAAUCGCGACCAGGACCGCUGCUUGAAGGAGCUCGGGUGAAGUGACCUCGGCCCAGUCCUGCAGCCUUUGAGCUCGAGAAAGAUGAAAGGCCAAUUAGUGGCAACAGGUUAUGAAUAAACAGGAGCUGGGAACUCUGGAUAAUAAAGAGCUUCCCAGAAUAGGAAUGUCUCCAUCUCCCUCACACUGAUUUGCAUGGCUCCUGUAGGCUUCCCUCCCCUCUCCUAACUCAAUUUCAAUUUCAAUUUCAAUGUCAAUAACUUCCUUGGCACGACAAGCAGUCAGGGGCUGCCAAAGUGAAUUGGAACAUUGAGUUUCAGAGUCUCGGACCAGCUCGUCCAGCCAGUGUGGCCGUCCCUUCCUAGGCCUUCCAGGCCCUUCCUGUGUACAUGCCUCAUCCUCUGUGCCCUUUGGGGAGACUUUUUUUUUUUUACCCUCCCCAGCUGUCUGUAAGGUUCUUUGGAAAAAGAUGCACUCCCUUGUUUGAUCAGGAUAUUCAAAUGGCGGUAGCCCAUGGGACGUCAUGUGUCCACGCAAUGUGCCGGGGACAGAAGGCUUAGCCCCUCUCUCCUGAGACCCCAGCCAAGGGGGGAAGCAGAUGAGAAGCAACAGUUCCCAUAAUGUGGCAGGUGUGUUGAUGGAAGGGAGCAGGGGGCUCUGGGACACAGAAUAGGGGCCUUGGAGCCAGGGUGGAGCCGAGGAAGGUAAGGGAGUGGGGCAACUUUCUGGAAGAGGCAGAAAGAGAGGGACUUCUGAAGGACCCUUGGAUGGCAGGCCACCGGGUUCUUUCCCUCAUGGGUCAGCGAUGGCUGGAAUGUCACCAUUAUCGCAGCCCCCUGUACAUAAACCAUAACAACUAUUGGCCCCACAUGGUGUUGGCAGUGGUCAGCUCCUCCGGAACGGGAGGGUGUGGCCCAGAGGAGCAAGAAGAGAGUAAAAGGGAACCAGGUAGGUAAUGCACGAGGGCGGUGGGAUCUGAAGUGCUGGAGGGGCUAUGGCGGUGCAUGGUGGCCGAGGCCCCCGGCGUGUCAGUCGGUGGGCUGCAGCAGUGGUGUGGCGCAUCAGGGAGCACGCACUUGGACUUGGUGCCUUUAUAGAGGGUGAGGACCCAGAGGCAGUGGAACGAGGUACUGGUUGGCCAGGAGGCAACAGGGGCACCCUCUGGAGUCUUGGGCUCAGAGCUGGACAGAGGGGCUGAGGCAGGAACAGUCCUGGAGUGUGAAGAUGACAGGUGGUGGGGCAGGCGAUGCUGGCUCUGCCAGCUUGACAUCCCUGCCCAGCGCCAACUGGGGGUUAGAUGACUGACCAUGGGGAGCCACAGACAGGGGCUGGAGCUGGUUUGCCAGGAGGCCACCAUGAGUAGGACCUUGACCCCUCUCUUCCUCCUCUCCUCUCCCCAACUGGACUGCGGAGAAUUCUGAUGAAACACAGCUCCCCGCCACACCACUACCAAGAGUAGGGCCUGCUAAGGCAAAGCGCCUCUGCCGUCGAGACGACGUGGGCGCUGCCCCCAGCUAUCUUUCCAUAGCCUUCGGCCAGCAGAGAAGAGCCCCCAGGAUAGUCAGCCCUGAAUAAGACCGACUAAUGCUCACAGGCCAAGGGGGUCUGCUUGCGAGUCUGGUGGGUUUCCUAUGGGAUUGUGCUGACCCAGGAGAAGCAAACUCCUCGCCAGAAGUGCCUCCAAACUCUGGGUUCCUGGGGACCCCUCUACCACUGCGUUGUGAACAUUUGCAGAGGCUGCAACCAUCCUGCAACCAUCCUUGGGGCCCCUCUUGGGCCUUCUCCCUUGUCCAUCUUCAGGGAUUUGGGAGAGGCAGUCGGGGAGGGGAGGCUGGAAAGGCGGUGGGCCACGAUGGAAUGAGGUCACUGAGGAUGCAGUUCCAGUUCUGCUGCUGGGGACCUCUAGGCAAAUCCUUCCAUUUUCAGGACCUCAAUCAACUCCUCAGGAAGGUGAGGGGAAGGGACCAGGUCAGGGGGUUUACAAAGAAGGUUUCUCAAAAGACUCUUGUAAGCUGUGCCCAGGGAAGAAGUUUGGGAAAAUGGACUCUCCAUCCUCCAACUUAAUUAAAGCCUCCAAAAACUGUUCUGUUUUCCAGUUGAAUGUAGGUGGUUUCCCAGCCCUUGGCUCCCCUUGUCCUCAGCCCAUAAAAUUCCCCAGUGCCUUCUCCCAAGAAGACAGUGGGCAGGGAGUGCUUCCGAAUGGGGCUGGUAGAGCUCUGGAACUUUGUUUGGUCAGGUGUUUCCUGUACAUCCUCGGCAGCCCGGGGCUUCUCAAACCGCCCAUUUUCAUCCCAAGGAAGGAAGAGCCCCUGCAACAGAGUUUGGAAAAUAGUAGACUACAUGUUCGUCUGCAAGAUUCUCUCCACCUUUGCAAGUCUAGGUGUCUAAAGAACACAGAACUUCUUUUCUCUAAUGUAGGGAGGAGGGAGAGAAAGUGGCAUUCUGAAGCUCUUCCUUUUCUUUCUUUCU